rnacentral:tRNA from 1 species
GGAUUGUGGCUCAGCGGUACAGUGUUCGCCUAGCACGGGCGGGACCUGGGUUCGAUCCUCAACACCA